GAUUUUCUAGUUUAUUUGCAUAGAGGUGUUUGUAAUAUUCUCUGAUGGUAGAUUGUAUUUCUGUGGGAUUGGUGGUGAUAAUCCCUUUAUCAUUUUUUAUUGCAUGUAUUUGAUUCUUCUCUCUUAUCUUCUUUAUUAGUCUUGCUCUUUUCUGGCUACAGUGCAUUUUAUAGAGCAACCCAGUACAUGGACCAGUACAGAUACAUAGUCCCAUCACUCACCCUGUGCCAUGGUUCUGAUAUUUUCUUUUCCAUUCUAUUUUGUUUUACUGUUUCCUCUGGUUAAAAUAGGCUGAUUGUGACCAACU
rnacentral:lncRNA from 1 species